ensembl:lncRNA
AUGCCCGACACGACCCACACAGGCAGCCAUCACACCAAACACACACACACACCAAACACACACACACACACUCACCACUUGGUCCACACAUGCACUGCACCACAUGCACACACACAUUCAUUCAAGUCCCCAGAAGCACACGCACAACACAGCCACACAAAAGACAUCACACACAUCACACACACAUGCGCACAAACAACGUAUGUUCCGACUCAACCCCAGCAGCACCGCCGACACCCUGACGACACUCCGGUGGUCCGGUCCGUAGGGUUAGUGUGUGUGUUUUUUACGUCCGUAGGCUGUAAAACACAUGGACGUAGCUUCUGUGAUGUCCCCGUUGGGUUAACACACAGCCCUUAUGAAGCUUUGGAGUUCACGUUGUUCAUGUUAAUGCUUUCGAUGGUUUGCGACUAGCAGCAGGAAACUAUCCGUACAUGGCACAUUAAGGGCGGGAAUCCAAUAGCCACCUCGCAGUGGUAAACGGCCAAAUGUAAUCACUUUUUAAUUUAAUAAAACUGCCACGAGAAGUCUCCAAAUAAUGAAUAUGGAGAUGAACUAGCCGCUGAGCUCCUAACAGAAAGGCAAGAAAAAUAACUAUUGCUUUGUAUAACGAGAAUUACGUCACAACAUUCCCCUUGACUUUGAAUGUGACCCUCCGAUCUUUUUGCAUAUUACCUCUAAGAGUCGCCUACAGGCCGUUAGAGGCACUGCAUGCUAGUCUCUACAGUUCGCCAACUACAGGCCGUUAGAGGCACUGCAUGCUAGUCCCUACAGUAGGCCAACUACAGGCCAUUAGAGGAACUGCAUGCUAGUCCCUACCACGAACCACCUACAGGCCGUUAGAGGAACUACACGUCAGUCUCCACAGUUCCCCCCCCUAGAGGCAGUUAGAGGAACUACACGUUAGCCUCCACAGUUCCCCCCACUAGAGGCGGUUAGAGGAACUACACGUUAGCCUCCGCAGUUCCCCCCUAGAGGCGGCUGUUAGAGGAACUACACACAUGGCUGCCGCUUGGUGGUUUCAUACUUCAGCAGGAAUGUCCGCUACCGGUCAGCGCCGAGCCCACUCCCACGACCUCCGUCCAUAUCUCAGGGUUUACUCCUCCACCUCCUGAGUUAAUAACAGUAACAAUUCACGGAGAUACUCGUACUCCCAGCGUGCCUGGGUCGGUCACGCCAUGCUGUGGAGGGUCAGCAGAUAGCAGUGCUGUGCGAUGUGCUAAGAGGAGUGUAAACAGACACACACACUGACAGACACAUGCCUACAUAGAUACAUAGUACAUACGCAUACCGGCUGACGCAUACAUAAACACGUACGACGGUUCAUAAAUUCAUACAUUCUGUGCUACACACACACACACACACACACACACACACACACACAUAUAUACACCACAUGUGUGAUAUCAGAGGCCAGUGUGUCAUCAUUAUCACUUCAGCUCUGGAGCCUCCGCUGGUCACAGAUAAGAGCACCGUUUUAGAUUCCUCUUUGC